rnacentral:rRNA from 1 species
UAUUGCACAAUGGGGGAAACCCUGAUGCAGCGACGCCGCGUGAAGGAAGAAGUAUUUCGGUAUGUAAACUUCUAUCAGCAGGGAAGAAAAAAGACGGUACCUGACUAAGAAGUCCCGGCUAACUACGUGCCAGCAGCCGCGGUAAUACGUAGGGGGCAAGCGUUAUCCGGAUUUACUGGGUGUAAAGGGAGCGUAGACGGCAGCACAAGUCUGGAGUGAAAUGCCGGGGCUUAACCCCGGAACUGCUUUGGAAACUGUGCAGCUAGAGUGCAGGAGAGGUAAGUGGAAUUCCUAGUGUAGCGGUGAAAUGCGUAGAUAUUAGGAGGAACACCAGUGGCGAAGGCGGCUUACUGGACUUUAACUGACGUUGAGGCUCGAAAGCGUGGGGAGCAAACAGG